rnacentral:rRNA from 1 species
GAUGAACGCUAGCGGCAGGCCUAACACAUGCAAGUCGAGGGGUAGAGUUAGCUUGCUAACUUGAGACCGGCGCACGGGUGCGUAACGCGUAUGCUAUCUGCCUUGUACUGAGGGAUAGCCCAGAGAAAUUUGGAUUAAUACCUCAUAGCAUUAUGAAAUCGCAUGGUUUUAUAAUUAAAGUUCUAACGGUACAAGAUGAGCAUGCGUCCCAUUAGUUCGUUGGAAAGGAACCGGCUUACCAAGAUAAUGAUGGGUAGGGGUCCUGAGAGGGAGAUCCCCCACACUGGUACUGAGACACGGACCAGACUCCUACGGGAGGCAUCAGUGAGGAAUAUUGGUCAAUGGGCGCAAGCCUGAACCAGCCAUGCCGCGUGCAGGAUGACGGUCCUAUGGAUUGUAAACUGCUUUUGUACGGGAAGAAACACUCCUACGUGUAGGAACUUGACGGUACCGUAAGAAUAAGGAUCGGCUAACUCCGUGCCAGCAGCCGCCGUAACAC